UCAAUAUUUGUUCCAUUCAAAGUAUCAUUAUAUUUAAAAAAGCGCUGAUCCAUAUUUAAGUAUGUCGCAACAAGUAAAUAUAAAAAGAAAAUCAUAGUUAAAAUAUCCCAAUUGUAUAUAAUAGUGGAAAUACGAAGCUAACACGAAGGAUUGCCGACGUCAUGUUGGUCUUGGCUGUGUUACCGAGCUCCUAUCAGGCUACUUAUAAUCUUCAGGCUGUAAUGCGACACGCCAAAGGCACGAACUCUCGCGGCAUUCUGUCUUCUACGUAGUAAAAUUAAUUCAAAAUCAGCUAUUUUCUCACUAUCCUUAGUUUUUUCCUCACUUACCGGCUUAUUUAACCCGCUAUUUAUAUUGCUGUCCAUAACGACCAAG